CCUACGGGAGGCAGCAGUGAGGAAUAUUGGUCAAUGGGCGGAAGCCUGAACCAGCCAAGUAGCGUGCAGGAUGACGGCCCUACGGGUUGUAAACUGCUUUUAUACGGGAAUAACGCGCCUUACGUGUAGGCCUUUGCAUGUACCGUAUGAAUAAGGACCGGCUAAUUCCGUGCCAGCAGCCGCGGUAAUACGGAAGGUCCGGGCGUUAUCCGGAUUUAUUGGGUUUAAGGGGUGCGUAGGCGGGCUUUUAAGGCAGCGGUAAAAAUUCGGGGCUCAACCCCGUCCGGCCGUUGAAACUGGGGGCAUUGAGUGGGCGAGAAGAAGGCGGAAUGCGUGGUGUAGCGGUGAAAUGCAUAGAUAUCACGCAGAACCCCGAUUGCGAAGGCAGCCUUCCGGCGCCCUACUGACGCUGAGGCACGAAAGUGCGGGGAUCGAACAGGAUUAGAUACCCCUGUAGUC
rnacentral:rRNA from 1 species